GUACCAACGGAUACAACAGGAUCACAACCACAACCUACAUUUACCAAUCAACAAUCAAGGCAUGAUAUGCAAUCCCAUACAGCUAACAAUCCUUAGAAUGAUGCAUGCCUCUAAGCACUCCUUAGGCGCUGGAUGAUGCAAUGCACAAUACAACAAACAUCCUAUUUAAAAGUGCUCCCCACACGGAAGCUUUUGUUUUUAAACUCUAAUUCAUUCAUUCAUAAAAACCAUUCGAAAACUUUUUUUUUUUAAACUGUUUCCCACACGGAAACUUUAUUUUGAAAACCGACUACCUCGAGGGGUAGAAAACCACGAUGCAUAACUACAAGAAAACCAAAUCUCCACGGAACCAAAACCACAGAUCGAAAACUCCAAUCUCGUAUAAUAUAAGACAUCCAUAAUUUCAUGCAUACGAGGAAAACCAACUCGUUCAAACAAUUAUAAGAUCAUCUAAUCAUGCAUAAUGGAAAUCACAACAUUCAAAC
rnacentral:lncRNA from 1 species